rnacentral:rRNA from 1 species
GACGAACGCUGGCGGCGUGCUUAACACAUGCAAGUCGAACGGAAAGGCCCUGCUUUUGUGGGGUGCUCGAGUGGCGAACGGGUGAGUAACACGUGAGUAACCUGCCCUUGCCUUUGGGAUAACUUCAGGCGACUGGGGCUAAUACCGGAUAGGAGCUCCUGCUGCAUGGUGGGGGUUGGAAAGUUUCGGCGGUUGGGGAUGGGAUCGCGGCUUAUCAGCUUGUUGGUGGGGUAGUGGCUUACCAAGGCUUUGACGGGUAGCCGGCCGGAGAGGGUGACCGGCGACAAUGGGGCGGAGGUACGGCCCAGACUCCUACGGGGGGCAGCAGUGGGGAAUAUUGCACAACGGGCGGAAGCCUGAUGCAGCAACGCCGCGUGCGGGAUGACGGCCGUCGGGGUGUAAACCGCUUUCGCCUGUGACGAAGCGUGAGUGACGGUAACGGGUAAAGAAGCACCGGCUAACUACGUG